rnacentral:misc_RNA from 1 species
UAAAAGAGGGCCCCAUCAGCCUUGGUGAGUGUCCGGGUGGAGACAUGGAUUGGUUGCAGAUGGUGCAGCCGGUGAUACAGGAGCGGAUGGAGCGCUACUCACAGAACGAGAUCAGAUUCAACCUCCUGGCGGUUAUCAAGAACAGGAAGGAGAUAUACACGGCUGAGCUAAAGGAUUUACAGAAGAAGAGAGAGCAUCUGCUGCAGGAGCUGAAUGACCUCAUGGCCUCAGGUGGCCCUGGCAUCGAAGAAUUGAACAAGUCCCUCGCUGAGGUGACCUCAGGGAUCGAG